rnacentral:rRNA from 1 species
AGGGGAUGCCUUAGUACGGCGAGUGAAGCGGCAAAAGCUCAAAUUUGAAAUCUGGUACCUUUGGUGCCCGAGUUGUAAUUUGGAGAGUACCACUUUGGGACUGUACUUUGCCUAUGUUCCUUGGAACAGGACGUCAUGGAGGGUGAGAAUCCCGUGUGGCGAGGGUGUCAGUUCUUUGUAAAGGGUGCUCGAAGAGUCGAGUUGUUUGGGAAUGCAGCUCUAAGUGGGUGGUAAAUUCCAUCUAAAGCUAAAUACAGGCGAGAGACCGAUAGCGAACAAGUACAGUGAUGGAAAGAUGAAAAGAACUUUGAAAAGAGAGUGAAAAAGUACGUGAAAUUGUUGAAAGGGAAGGGCAUUUGAUCAGACAUGGUGUUUUGCGCCCCUUGCCUCUCGUGGGCUUGGGACUCUCGCAGCUCACUGGGCCAGCAUCGGUUUUGGCGGCCGGAAAAAAACUACGGAAUGUGGCUCUGCGCCUCCCUGUUGAGAGUUAGGGCCCCGGGGGAGAAAGACAGCCGGUAGGGACUAGUGCGAUACUUGUUGUGUAUUAUAGGGGGGUUCCCGUUUGGUUUCCUUCCCCCCCUGUUAAAAAAAAACAAAAAAAA